AUUUUGGACAAUGGGGGAAACCCUGAGCCAGCCAUCCCGCGUGUAUGAUGAAGGCCUCCGGGUUGUAAAGUACUCUUGGCAGAGAAGAAAAGGUACCUCGUAAUACGAGGUACUGCUGACGGUAUCUGCAGACUAAGCACCGGCUAUCUCCGUGCCCGCAGCCGCGGUAAAACGUAGGGUGCAAGCGUUAACCGUAAUUACGGGGCGUAAAGCGUGUGUAGGCGGUUCGGAAAGAAGAAUGUGAAAUCCCAGGGCUCAACCUUGGAACUGCAUUUUUAACUGCCGGGCUAGAGUAUGUCAGAGGGGGGUAGAAUUCCACGUGUAGCAGUGAAAUGCGUAGAUAUGUGGAGGAAUACCGAUGGCGAAGGCAGCCCCCUGGGAUAAUACUGACGCUCAGACACGAAAGCGUGGGGAGCAAACAG
rnacentral:rRNA from 1 species